rnacentral:rRNA from 1 species
GACGAACGCUGGCGGCGUGCUUAACACAUGCAAGUCGAACGGAAAGGCCCUGCUUUUGUGGGGUGCUCGAGUGGCGAACGGGUGAGUAACACGUGAGUAACCUGCCCUUGACUUUGGGAUAACUUCAGGAAACUGGGGCUAAUACCGGAUAGGAGCUCCUGCUGCAUGGUGGGGGUUGGAAAGUUUCGGCGGUUGGGGAUGGACUCGCGGCUUAUCAGCUUGUUGGGGGGGUAGUGGCUUACCAAGGCUUUGACGGGUAGCCGGCCUGGGAGGGUGACCGGCCACAUGGGGACUGAGAUACGGCCCAGACUCCUACGGGAGGCAGCAGUGGGGAAUAUGGCACAAUGGGCGGAAGCCUGAUGCAGCAACGCCGCGUGCGGGAUGACGGCCUUCGGGUUGUAAACCGCUUUGGCCUGUGACGAAGAGUGAGUGACGGUAAUGGGUAAAGAAGCACCGGCUAACUACGUG